rnacentral:lncRNA from 1 species
AGGCCCUGCUGGUUGAGCUGGGAGACUCAGUCCCAAGGCUUUGAACAGACACGUAAUUUCAAUGAUGUUGGGGUUGGGGGGACCAUAAGCUCGCACAAUCCUAAAUCCCAGCCCCAAGGAGGCCUAGGGAGAGCCUGAGGCUCGAAUGAGUAAGAAUGGGAGUGGGAACGAGGAUGAAGGUGGGUCCCCCUUGCCCCCUGGCCUCACCUGGUUAUCCUCCGGGCCUCCAGGUGGCUCGGGGAGUCUCUCCGGCGCUUUCUCAUAGGCGAGUAGGACCGACGUCUCCGACGCGCUCGCUCGCGCUCCCGCUGCUGCGAGUCCUUCUCACUGUAUUUGGGAUCCCGCUCCCUGAAGGGGCGCGGGGGGUUACUGGGGAGCUGGGGCUGGGCUGGAUUUUCUGCGUGAGCGCGUGGGAGAGGGACACUCCCUUUCUUUCCCACCCCACUGGGUCACGGGAUGGGGUCUGCACGUUGCCGCAAGGGAGACCGGAGGGAGGAUGACGGGGCUGCGAUGCCACAUCUUUCUCAACUCUGGAGUUCAAUGGUAACACAUGUAUCUCCACCACCUCUGUCAGGAAUGUAUCAUGCCAGGCAACUAGACCCUGAGAUCUGCGAUCUCUGGCUUGGGCUUGGUACAAAGAUGGGAUCAUGGAAUCUUUGCCCCAGAGAUGGUGAGUGGUUGGUAGCCAGUGUAUUACAAGUGAAUCCAACAAGCCCAUCCUGGAGGGAGCUAGGCUGGAAGAACUCAAGGACAGGGGCCUGUGGUAGGAGCAUUUUCACAAAGUCAUCAUCAGAGAUAUUCAGAUAGUUUAAUGGUCUCCUAAACCCCAGACUCCACCUUCUGCAGAGCUCUCCAUUCACUCCACAAGAAGAGGAGGAAAGAAGAUACAAUUGAGGGAAGCCCAAGACAGGAUGGGAGAGGUCUGACCGUGGAAGUGCAGAGGAGACAUUAGAGU